rnacentral:lncRNA from 1 species
AAACGGUAUAAUCCCUUGGCCUGUCGGGUAACGUCCCGAUAAACCACCGAUACACAGGAUCCAAUAAGGUUACCUCACAUGAAGGUGAGUCCAGAGAUACAAUCACCAUCACAUUUUACAUCAUAGAGAAUUACAUUACAAGAAUUUCCAAAAGAAGUAUGAAGUUUCAAAUCUAGAGAAAAGAUUACAAACUAUUAAAGCUAUGGUUUUGGCAGCGGAAAACAUACGCGACGAUUACAACACGUCGUUAAGACGGAUGUCAUGCUAAGCCCAGGCACGACAUCACCCGGUAUCACCAAUGUUGGUCGGGGACGGAUUCUAUUCCACGGACCAAUUAUUUGGAAGAGCACAGGGCCAAGGCCAGGGAAGAGUAGGGUCUUCAAAAGCUUAACCU